rnacentral:rRNA from 1 species
UCUGGGACAAGCCCUGGAAACGGGGUCUAAUACCGGAUAACACUCCUGCACGCAUGGCUGGGGGUUGAAAGCUCCGGCGGUGAAGGAUGAGCCCGCGGCCUAUCAGCUUGUUGGUGAGGUAGAAGCUCACCAAGGCGACGACGGGUAGCCGGCCUGAGAGGGCGACCGGCCACACUGGGACUGAGACACGGCCCAGACUCCUACGGGAGGCAGCAGUGGGGAAUAUUGCACAAUGGGCGAAAGCCUGAUGCAGCGACGCCGCGUGAGGGAUGACGGCCUUCGGGUUGUAAACCUCUUUCAGCAGGGAAGAAGCGAAAGUGACGGUACCUGCAGAAGAAGCGCCGGCUAACUACGUGCCAGCAGCCGCGGUAAUACGUAGGGCGCAAGCGUUGUCCGGAAUUAUUGGGCGUAAAGAGCUCGUAGGCGGUCUGUCACGUCGGAUGUGAAAGCCCGGGGCUUAACCCCGGGUCUGCAUUCGAUACGGGCAGACUAGAGUGUGGUAGGGGAGAUCGGAAUUCCUGGUGUAGCGGUGAAAUGCGCAGAUAUCAGGAGGAACACCGGUGGCGAAGGCGGAUCUCUGGGCCAUUACUGACGCUGAGGAGCGAAAGCGUGGGGAGCGAACAGGAUUAGAUACCCUGGUAGUCCACGCCGUAAACGGUGGGAACUAGGUGUUGGCGACAUUCCACGUCGUCGGUGCCGCAGCUAACGCAUUAAGUUCCCCGCCUGG